rfam:Chryseobacterium sp. Hurlburt 01 HurlbutContig3, whole genome shotgun sequence.
UUGGCGGAAUCCGAAAAGCCAUCCAUAGAGUAGGAA